CGCAGAGAAACGGCAAACGCGCGCGCUCAAGGCACCAACCCAACAGGCAGAGACGCUUCCUCGGCUUCUCCCGUCGCGCGUGCGUAGAACGGGAGGAAGCACGCGCCACGUAUCCGCCAAUGACAGCGGGGACAGUCCGUGCCCGCCCCCCACCUCCCCGUCCAAUCGCACGGAUCCUGUCCGAGGCAGGCCAGCCAAUCGAGGUCCGACACAGCUACUGGCAUAAGCCGGGUGGUGGCAGGCUUGCUCUGUGGCAGCAACGUUGGGCCUCUAGGCGGCGUUGGACUACAACUCCCGUCAUUCCUAGCUAGCGUAGCCAGCAGCUAGGGAUGAUGGGAGUUGUAGUUGAAGAACAGCUGGCUGCUCUACAGCCUUGGCCCUGAGGCACAAGGAAGAGGAAGCUUGCCCAGUCCAGAAAAUGUCCCUUUGAGGGCGAGGGCUCUUGGUUAGCCGUGACUCAUGAGGGCUGUACUAGGCUAACGCCCUUUUGAAGACUAUUUUCCUGAUAUGUGCCAAAUAACUCAUUUAUUAGACUCAUGGCAUGGAGUUUUUAUUGGUGGGAGCAGUUGUCGUUGCCCUUCUCGGCCUUCAAAGCUUUAUUGCUUUACAAUAAAGAGCAAACACCAGAAUAUGCCAAUCCCCAAUCACGUUUACUCGGAAAUAAUUCCUAUUUACUGCUAAAACAGCAUCCCAGACAACCCCUUAUUGGGCAUAUUAAUGUCCAGUUCGGACACGCAGACGACUGCAGUCCCACCUUGGCAAUACCAGGCGUACUUACUCGGAAGAAGCCUCCUUAUAAUAAUAAUAAUUAUUAUUUAUUAUUUAUACCCCACCCAUCUGGCUGGGUUUCCCCAGCCACUAUGGGCGGCUUCCAACAAAACACUAAAAUACAAUAACCUAUUAAACCUUAAAAGCUUCCGGGCAUAUUGACUGUCUUCAGGUCUAUGUACACCUGCAUGGAAGUGACUGCGCAAUUUCUUAACAGCAUCUACUCAAGUCCUAUUGAAUUCAGUGGGGUUUAUUCCCAGGCUUAUCCCUCCUGUCUGCAACUCAACCAUACAGUUUACAGUUACACAGCAGAGAAAUAAAGUUUCUGCAUGGAAUACUUAAGCAUGUUUUCAAAAUGGUAGAUGGAAAGCCAGAAUCCAGCUUGCUCUGAGGCCAGCAGGCCAGCCCGAGAGCCACCACUGCAGUUCCUCCUUGGGCUUUGUGCCUGGAGCCUAAGGACCUCUAGCUACUGAUUGCCACCAGCUGGGGAGAAAAGCAAAGAAAUGUAAUGUUGGAUUGCAGCAACCAGCACAUCAGCUUCUGGGAAGAAACACUCAUCUGACCAGUGGGACUUUGGAAUUGCAGCAGCAACAGCUUCUAAAGCUCACAACUAUUCUUAACUAUCUUGCUGCUGGUUUUUCGGGUGGCAGCAGCAACAGAGAAUUAGGGGCCUAAAAAUGACUAGUUAUGGCACUGACGUAUAUGGUUCUGUAGCACUAAGGCAGCCUGUGCUCUGUAUAUAACCAGGGGUGGGUGCCUGUCUGCUUGUUCUCGCCUGCUUCUUAGCCCUUAGGAAGCACAGUCUACUUCCUGAGGAACUAGAAAAUGCACAGAAUUUUAAAGAGGAAGAGAUGUUACUCUCACUAAUGCAACGUUAUGAUUCUUUGAUCUUGUGACUCCAAUGCGAGUUUGCUGACAAAAUCUUAAAGAAGGCCUAAGCCCUGCUUUAGAUUCCAUCUUUGUUACCGGAUGGACACAGUUGGAAAAAAUAAAAGCCCUCUGC